AAAAACAUGUCCUUUAGAAUUUAAUUUAAGGUCUAACCUGCCCACUGAGAAGUUUUAAAUGGCCGCAGUAUUUUAACUGUGCAAAGGUAGCAUAAUCAUUAGUCUUUUAAUUGAAGGCUUGUAUGAAUGGUUGGACGAAAUAUUAACUGUUUCAUAAAAAUUAAUUUAGAAUUUUAUUUUUUAGUUAAAAAGCUAAAAUAAUUUUGAAAGACGAGAAGACCCUAUAGAUCUUUAUAUUUUAUAUAUUAUAAUUAUUUAGAUUAUUUAGGUUAUGAUUAUAUAAAAUAUUUUGUUGGGGUGACAUUAAAAUUUAAUUAACUUUUAAUUAAUAUUUACAUUAAUUUAUGAAUAUUUGAUCCAUUAAUAAUGAUUAAAAAAUUAAGUUACCUUAGGGAUAACAGCGUAAUUUUUUUGAAGAGUUCAUAUCGAUAAAAAAGAUUGCGACCUCGAUGUUGGAUUAAGAAAUAAUUUUGGGUGCAGCAAUUCAAUUAUUAAGUCUGUUCGACUUUUAAUUUCUUACAUGAUCU
rnacentral:rRNA from 1 species